GUUAAAUUAAUGAUACGGAGGCAAGAGUUCUGUCUGCAAAAAGCAUGCUGUCAUUUCCUCUGGCUUGUAGCAUUUCCUUUGCCAUCUCCUCCACAAUUUUGUUUAGCUUGCAACAACAGAAAUGGCCUAGCAUGGAGUGUGUUCCGCACGCAUGCAAAAAAGGUAACGGGAUCCGCAGAGAAUUUUUUUAAAGUUGGGUUUGCACUCUUGUGCUGUCUCUUUGUGAAAUGUAAGGAAGAUUGACAGUUGAGGGAUUGCAAUAAACUGUGGUGUUUUCUUUUGCUCCUCUCCCCUCGCCACUUCUAAUUAUCUGAAUUGUCAAGUCUGGGAUCCCUCAGUCUGACAGAAGUGAUGCUCGGAGGGGAGAGGCUUAACAACUUGCUUACAUUCAGCUCUUCAGGCAUAAUCAAAGGUUGGGUUUGCUGUAUCUUUUACAUGUGAUUGUUUGACCCAAAACAGUGGUCGUUUAAGUUGAAAGAAGUGGCUUGAAAACAAAUAGAAAAUAAGAGCUGUAAACUGACCUAAAUUCCUCCUCUUGACUCCUGGGUCACCCUACCAGCCUCCAGGUGCCAUGGGCUGUUUACACUGGACUUAAAAAAAUGAAGGCAAGAGCUUGCAGGUCCCUACCUUUGCAUCUCCACCAGUGUUUGACCCAGUCUGUAACCUCUGUUCCCUGGGACAGAGAAAGGAGAGUGCUUAACACUAGCAGCCAGCCUACACUGUUGCGCCUGUGUGAGGAAGUGUCUGAAAACCACUAAAAGUUUGACAGGAUUAUACUUAGAUGAAUCUUCUGAUAGAAGAGGCCAAGUAGCCCUUCCCCUGCAGUAGCUACUGUCAGCUGGAUAUAGAGUUUUAUUUUUAUGCUUGAAGAGGGAAGGUGAGAGGCAUGGGACAGGGACAAAUAUGCGAAUGUCUGUCCUGUGGUUUCAGGAGCUGGUAAGAAGUACAUAAUUUGGGGUCAGUGGCCCUUCUUCUCAGCUGCUGCUGGCUACACAGGUGUGAUGCAACAGAAAUGGCUCCCCCUCUCAAAGCCCCAUGGAGUAUAAAUCAAGGAGGAAAGUAAUUCGCACAAUUAGAGAAAGGAUAAAGGACUCGCCUGUGGAGCAGGAAGGGAAGGAAACAUACUUACAGUCAGCUGAAUGAUGGAUGAACAGCAAAACACCUUCUCUACAUGUGCAUAUAACCCAAGCUCAGAUCUGCUAGUGCAGCUUCACUCCAGACAGACAGUUCAGUCUAACUAUACGUAUGGUUAAAACAGCCCAGACAUCAGAGUGAGUAGCAGUAGCUGGAAAACUGAAAGAUCUGCAUGUGCUAAAGAGCCCUGAAAGUGAUGGAUAGUUUGUUGACUUCUGAACCUGAAGAUAACUUUCUGAGUUGUGUCUCAUGUUGGAGGAAAAGCAUGUAAAGGGGAGCAGAAAAGAUUUCAAAGAUUUUGUGCAGCAGAGGAUGGCAGCAAGCCAUUAAUUAUUUGCAAAGGAAUAAUAACAGAUAGAUAGGCUUUUUUUUUUUUUUUUUUUUUUGCAAGUUGAGCUAUUGAUGUGAAAUGAAUAGCUGCUGCAGAACGAUUGCAACCCACGUAACCAACUAGGAUUUUACAGUCUUUGUACAAAGAUAUUUAAAAAGAUUAACAUAGCUUUGGUAGAAUACAUUAGUAUGCUGGGAUAACAAAGCUCUUUGGAAACCUUUGGAAACUUCUUCCCAACCCCCAUCAAAUUACCUCCAAAUUCUUAUUUAUUAUUACUUAGAGAGCACGUUAAGUGCACACUGUGCAUUGUAACAAAGCCACGGCCCCUGCCCUGAAGAUUUUACAAGUCUGAGGUCUUGAUCUAAUACCUUUUUAAAUCUGUGGGAGUCUUUGCCUUGACUUCAGUGUGGUUUGGAUCAGAUCCUCGCACAGCGUUUCAUGAGACUUAGCAACAGUUCUUGUUACACUCUAGUACACCCAGCUAGCUCACGGCAAAUUCAUGGCUGAGCAGUUCCCUGCAACAGUCCCUCUAAAUGCAGUGGGGACGUUCACUCCUUGGGCGAGUGAGCGCUCACUAACCUGGGACACGCGGCCCUGGUGGGUGGGAGAACAGAGGAUGGAAGGACGGAGGUAACCAUGCUGGUUUGCUACUGGUUUUUUAGCACCAGGAGCAGCAGGCACGUGUGACACGCUAGGCUAAAAUUCCUUACGUGUGCUCUCUGCCUGAGCGUGAGCUGUGCAGCCGGCUCAGGAAGAAAAAAAAAGCUGUGGAAAUCUCUGAGGAUGCGAUCCCCUCCACGUUCUGCCCCAGCCAUCUUCCAAGCGAAAGCUAUGUGUACACAGUCUUUGCCCCAACUUAUUUAACUGCUUUGACUCAUUCCAGCUUACCGGAGUGGGGGGAAUUUACAACUCCCUUUUCUGCUACCACAGCACCAGCUCUGCAAGUAUUUAGCCUGUUGUGGACACUUGUGUGUGCUUGUUUGGAAAGGCUGCUUGUGUAUAGUUUUGCUUCAAUGCAAAUGCUUUAGGCCCCAGCGCAGCGAAGUAAUUAAGUAUAUGCUUGACUUUAAGUCCAUGAAUGAUCUCUGAAUCUGCGUCUUUGUACUCAGAACAAAACCCCUUAAAUAAAGGAAUAGCUUGAAUGCCAGCAGCCCAGCUGUUUUUGAACAACCCUCCAAUAACAAACCCGAGAGCAUUUGCAUUGGUAGAAACAAAAGUUGGAUAAGGAGGCUGAUUCACUGUCUGGCUUCUGGAGACAUUUUAUAAAUAGCUGCAAGAAAAACACAGGAGGUUUUUUUUAUUAUUAUUAUUAGUUGAUAAAACAUGUUGACAGAGUCCUUUUCAGGAUUGUAACUUGGGGGCAGCAUGUCUUUUUGGACAGCAGACACAUGGCAAACAGUUUAUUUGCUGAAGAAAGCCAGAUGCUCUAUGUCCUUGGCAGGCGAUUUGUAAGAUUAAGGAAAAUCAAGCUAGUGACUAGAGUGUGGUAAAUAAGUAAAAUAAAUAAAUAAAACAGUCGCGCUGCCCGCAAGAAACUCUUCUGUCCUUUUUGGCAGGACAGCUGGUUUUCAGCUACUUUUCUCCGCAGUGUGCGGCUGACAAGGAAGAGCAGGCCACCUGAGGAGAAGCGUUUCUUGUUUCCCAGCCACGGCCUUUGCCUUCCCAGCACAGCGCUGCUGUAUGAACGAGCUUAGAUGCCUCCAUAGACUCUCGCAGCACAUCCCAGGGAAGAUUUAUGGGCACGGUGCUGAUCGGCUGAGAGGGUGAAAGAUGCACAUGAAGGAGAAGACAAGGACCAGGAACAUUCAUGUUAAGCAUCCUUCAUCAAGCCGUUGCCCAGCCUGAGUUUGAAGCUGUUAUGUGGCAAGCAGACCACCUCUGGGAAACCUCUGAUGGGUAAUAACCUGGGGAUCAAGGGCUGGAAAACAGGCAAUACACUAUGUCUCCUACAUGUAGGGCUUGAUCCACAGCUGGCACAGAUCAGCAUCAUGCCAUUGGAAGAAGACACUUUGUAUAGACUGAGACCAGCUGAACACCAGAAUUGCCAAUAAAAUAAAGUAGUUCUGUGAAUAAACAGAAUAUUAGCAGAGGAAAAAACAGAGAUGAUAAAGUUUGUGUUGUUUAUCCUUU